ensembl:lincRNA Gm15966 predicted gene 15966
GUCUCAGGGUUCUCGGAGGGACAGUGAAGAGCAGCCAGGGGUUGGAGAUUCUCAUUCUCCGAGGAAUAUGUUCGAUACAGACACCGCGGGUCUCCUUGUUAUGCUAGAAACCAGCGGUUGUUUGCACAUAAGGAGCUACCACACGGUAAUGAGGUGCAGCCAGAGGCAAAAUGACAUUUGGCGACGUCUUUUGUGUACUGCAG